rnacentral:rRNA from 1 species
UACGUAGGGUGCGAGCGUUGUCCGGAAUUAUUGGGCGUAAAGAGCUUGUAGGCGGUUUGUCGCGUCUGCUGUGAAAAUCCGGGGCUCAACCCCGGACUUGCAGUGGGUACGGGCAGACUAGAGUGUGGUAGGGGAGACUGGAAUUCCUGGUGUAGCGGUGAAAUGCGCAGAUAUCAGGAGGAACACCGGUGGCGAAGGCGGGCGUCUGG